AUUACGGCGUGACGGACGUUUAAUUGAAUCGUCACAACUCUUGCGAUGCGUAACACAUGCACCUUGCGUUUGACGCUGCCGAGGACAACUCUGCACUCGCUCUGAGGAUGUGUCAAGAAAGAUACCCAAACAGAAGACUGCCGAACUGGAGGACUUUUCUUAAUUUUGACCAACGUCUGACGGAAACGGGAUCAUUGCAAUCAAGGAUAUACGACGCAAAGAGAAAUAGCACGACGAUGCCCCAGCGCAUUUUACGGCUGAAGUACGCAAUCACCUGACAGAAACUUUCGGCGACAGAUGAAUCGGGCGGGGUGGACGUGUAACGUGGCCUGCAAGAUCACCAGAUUUAACGCCUCUUGACUUCUUUUUCUGGGGUGCAAUAAAAAGUCUGAUUUAUUCCGAACAAGUUAAAUCCGAGGAAGAUCUGGUCGCUCACAUCGUGGAGGCAUCUGAAACUAUCCGACACAUGCCUGAAAUAUUCCAAAAAACGCGGCAGUUAUUACUCCGUCGCUGUGACUUUUGUCGGAAC